GACGAACGCUGGCGGCGUGCUUAACACAUGCAAGUCGAGCGGUAAGGCCCUUUCGGGGGUACACGAGCGGCGAACGGGUGAGUAACACGUGGGUGACCUGCCCUCAGCUCUGGGAUAAGCCUGGGAAACCGGGUCUAAUACCGGAUAUGACUCCAUGACGCAUGUUGUGGGGUGGAAAGCCUUGUGCGGCUGAGGAUGGGCCCGCGGCCUAUCAGCUUGUUGGUGGGGUGANGGCCUACCAAGGCGACGACGGGUAGCCGGCCUGAGAGGGCGACCGGCCACACUGGGACUGAGACCACGGCCCAGACUCCUACGGGAGGCAGCAGUGGGGAAUCUUGCGCAAUGGGCGAAAGCCUGACGCAGCGACGCCGCGUGAGGGAUGACGGCCUCGGUU
rnacentral:rRNA from 1 species